rnacentral:rRNA from 1 species
GAGUGAAAAAGAACCUGAAACCGUGUACGUACAAGCAGUGGGAGCCCCACCACUAAGCCAGUGGUGAACUCCACAUACGCAUCCUUUGCUGAGGAUACGGUUAACGGAGCGAAAGCGACGUUCAACCGCAAAAGAAGCAGAGGGGGCUUAGUGGUGGGGUGACUGCGUACCUUUUGUAUAAUGGGUCAGCGACUUAUAUUCUGUAGCAAGGUUAACCGUAUAGGG